UACGGAGGGGGUUAGCGUUGUUCGGAAUGAAUGGGCGUAAAGAGCGCGUAGGCGGACCUGCAAGUCGGGGGUGAAAUCCCGGGGCUCAACCCUGGAAUGGCCUUCGAGACUGCCGGUCUUGAGUUCGAGAGAGGUGGGUGGAAUUCCGAGUGUAGAGGUGAAAUUCGUAGAUAUUCGGAGGAACACCAGUGGCGAAGGCGGCCCACUGGCUCGACACUGACGCUGAGGUGCGAAAGCGUGGGGAGCAAACAGG
rnacentral:rRNA from 1 species